rnacentral:rRNA from 1 species
UGCGUCCUCGGGAGGCAGCAGUGGGGAAUAUUGGUCAAUGGUCGGGAGACUGAACCAGCCAAGCCGCGUGAGGGAUGAAGGUACAGAGUAUCGUAAACCUCUUUUGUCAGGGAACAAAGGCGGGGACGUGUCCCCGGAUGAGUGUACCUGAAGAAAAAGCAUCGGCUAACUCCGUGCCAGCAGCCGCGGUAAUACGGAGGAUGCGAGCGUUAUCCGGAUUUAUUGGGUUUAAAGGGUGCGCAGGCGGUCUGUUAAGUCAGCGGUCAAAGCCCGGGGCUCAACCCCGGCCCGCCGUUGAAACUGGG